rnacentral:lncRNA from 7 species
UCUUUUGUGGGGAGGAAGGGGGAGUAGCAAUUUCCUGCAUGUUUAGCUUCUGUACUUCUUGGUGUGGCCAGACAAGCAUCAGCAGUGACAUGCAGGUGAUAACCUGCUUUGGCAUAAAGGUUUAAUACAUUCUGUUUUCUAAGAACUAAGCAGGACUGCACAUGGUAACAAACUAUAGAGGAAAGAUGUAUAUACUAAAUGACAAGGAGAUGAAUGCUGAAGUUUCCAUGUGCAUUCAAGUGUUUGGUGUUUCUACUCUUCUUCCAUUUGAGAAGACCAUAUAUAUGAUAUUGCUGCCAUUAUAAUGACAUUCUUCAACAAGGAAGAUGCGUCUUUUUAUGGGCAUUGGCACCAUUUACAGGAUCCACAUUUAUGCAAGUCUGUUCUGUAUUUCAUUUAAAUAAAGCCUC